AGAGUUUGAUCCUGGCUCAGAUUGAACGCUGGCGGCAGGCUUAACACAUGCAAGUCGAACGAUGAAACUCUAGCUUGCUAGAGAAGAUUAGUGGCGGACGGGUGAGUAACAUUUAGGAAUCUGCCUAGUAGUGGGGGAUAGCUCGGGGAAACUCGAAUUAAUACCGCAUACGACCUACGGGUGAAAGGGGGCGCAAGCUCUUGCUAUUAGAUGAGCCUAAAUCAGAUUAGCUAGUUGGUGGGGUAAAGGCCCACCAAGGCGACGAUCUGUAACUGGUCUGAGAGGAUGAUCAGUCACACCGGAACUGAGACACGGUCCGGACUCCUACGGGAGGCAGCAGUGGGGAAUAUUGGACAAUGGGGGCAACCCUGAUCCAGCCAUGCCGCGUGUGUGAAGAAGGCCUUUUGGUUGUAAAGCACUUUAAGCAGGGAGGAGAGGCUAAUGGUUAAUACCCAUUAGAUUAGACGUUACCUGCAGAAUAAGCACCGGCUAACUCUGUGCCAGCAGCCGCGGUAAUA
rnacentral:rRNA from 1 species